CAAACGGGGCAAAGCCAAUGAGGGAUCCCAAGUGCCAGUUCGUAAAAGCUGGCUGUUUUUCUGUCUCCCCUUUAGAGAGAGUAAGAGCUGGGUAAGACGGGUGCCAGCCCCCUCGGUAAUACCUGCAGCUCAAGUGGUGGUCGUUAUUAUUGGGCCUAAAACGUCCGUAGCCGGUUUAGUAAAUGCCUGGGUAAAUCGUGCAGCUUAACUAUACGAAUUCCGGGUAGACUGUUAGACUUGAGACCGGGAGAGGCUAGAGGUACUCCUGGGGUAGAGGUGAAAUUUUGUAAUCCUAGGGGGACCACCAGUGGCGAAGGCGUCUAGCUAGAACGGGUCUGACGGUGAGGGACGAAGCCCUGGGGCGCGAACCGGAUUAGAUACCCGAGUAGUCCCAGCCGUAAACGAUGCAGACUAGGUGUUGGGGCGGCCACGCGCCGCCUCAGUGCCACAGGGAAGCCAUUAAGUCUGCCGCCUGGGGAGUACGGCCGCAAGGCUGAAACUUAAAGGAAUUGGCGGGGGA
rnacentral:rRNA from 1 species